rnacentral:lncRNA from 1 species
GGAGGGAAAAGUUAAAACAAGGCUGGAGAACUAAUGUGACAAGUUCAGGAGUUAAUAGCUGUAUUUAAGAUUUAACAAAUCUGCAAAAGGAGAAAAAAAUGCUCGUUUGUAAUUAACCAGGAGAUUCUAUCCCUCAGUCUGAUAUCUGCAAAGUAUACAUUUGAUCCUAUUUGUAAAUUAACUUCAUAUUAACCUUUGUUUUUCAAUAGAAUCACAAACUAGUUUAAAGAGAUAUUUAUCUAAUAGUAAGGCCAGGAAGUUUAUGAUGAGCUUUUAAAAUUUAGAAUUCCUUAAUAAGAUAUUACUUUUAAAAAUUAAUUGACAAAAAAAUUGACUAUAAUAUUUAUAUUCACUAUGAAUGCCAUUUAUAUUAAUUAACUUUUUCCCUUUUCCUAUAACACGCUUGUGCAGUUUUUUUGUUUGUGCACAAUCAGAAUCAAGCUUGGAGAAUUCUGAAUCAGACUGACAGUAUAAAAGUU